rnacentral:rRNA from 1 species
CCUACGGGUGGCAGCAGUGGGGAAUAUUGGGCAAUGGAGGAAACUCUGACCCAGCAAUGCCGCGUGAAUGAAGAAGGUCUUCGGAUUGUAAAGUUCUUUAGUCAGGGAAGAAUAAAAUGACGGUACUUGCAGCAUAAGUUCCGGCUAACUGCGGGCCAGCAGCCGCGGGAAUACGUAGGGCGUAAGCGUGGUUCGGAAUGACUGGGCGGAAAGGGUGCGUAGGCGGUUAUACAAGUUAGAAGUGAAAUACCCAGGGCUUAACUCGGGUGCUGCUUCUAAUACUGUAAGACUGGAGUGCAGUAGAGGUUAGUGGAAUUCCUGGUGUAGCGGUGGAAUGCGUAGAUAUUAGGAGGAACACCGGAGGCGAAGGCGGCUAACUGGACUGCAACUGACGCUGAGGCACGAAAGUGUGGGGAGCAAACAGGAUUAGAUACCCUUGUAGUC